rnacentral:rRNA from 1 species
UACAGAGGUCUCAAGCGUUGUUCGGAUUCAUUGGGCGUAAAGGGUGCGUAGGUGGCGCGCUAAGUCAGGUGUGAAAUCUCGGGGCUUAACUCCGAAACUGCAUUUGAUACUGGCGUGCUUGAGGACUGGAGAGGAGACUGGAAUUCAUGGUGUAGCAGUGAAAUGCGUAGAGAUCAUGAGGAAGACCAGUGGCGAAGGCGGGUCUCUGGACAGUUCCUGACACUGAGGCACGAAGGCCAGGGGAGCAAAACGGG